rnacentral:misc_RNA from 1 species
UAAGACUGAGUCGAAGGCUGCAGG